CAGGACCACUCUCAGAAACAGGUGAACAGGUGGGUGUGGAUCUGAGUGAGGUGAUCACCACCAAAGUUCAACAAUCAGGACAACAGAGUAGAGACUGGUGAGCAUGUAAGAGGCAACACUGCCUAUAUCACACAGAAGGGCUGACAAGAAAUUAAGGAUAACUCAGCGACCUCAAUGGUCAACACUUGUGAAAUUACAUCAUCAUCCAGAGUGAUGUUCCCAUAUGCCUAACGAGAUAGAAGGAACAUGAGCUGUGCUCUAAUUCUGCAAAAAUUGUAACCAAUAUGCUUUCAGUUGUUGGGGUGGAUCACAUAUUUACGAUGGAGGUGCUUUAUGGAUAACCCUAAACACUGCAGUGGAUUCACGAAAAAUAUUAUAGAAUGAAAGAACUGUAUCAUUACUUCCCCUCAUGCAACCGGUUCCAAAACUGUUACCUAAUGCAGGUAAACAAAUUCAAUGCUGAAUUCACUUUGAGUGAUAAAGGGAGAAAGAAAGUCAAUGGAUGGAUAGGGUGGUUUUGUUUGGUGAUCUUAAAAGUGUGUGACUAUCCUCAUGAAUAAAAAGGCUGACAAAUGUAGCCAAUAUGUCACACUGUAGACAGGCUAUUCUUAGCUGGAAUCAUGAAAGUUUAAGAUAUUCUUGCUCAUGAAGACUUCUCUGUCUAGUUAUUUUCAGAAUAAAUAAGGCUGCCUUAAGCCUGUCAAUGUCAAAAAUACAGUUUCCAAAGAGACAAAAUGAAAGUUCAGGAUUCAGGCUGUUGCUAUUUUAAUGAUCUUGAUAAGCUGAUCUAGAACUCACAGAGAGAGAUUUAUGCCUUACCUAUUUAACCAUGUCUCACUGUAA
rnacentral:lncRNA from 1 species